rnacentral:misc_RNA from 1 species
GAAAUGCGAUAAUUAAUGUGAAUUGCAGAAUUCAGUGAAUCAUCGAGUCUUUGAACGCACAUUGCGCCCCCUGGUAUUCCGGGGGGCAUGCCUGUCCGAGCGUCAUUGCUGCCCUCAAGCACGGCUUGUGUGUUGGGCUUCCGUCCCUGGCAACGGGGACGGGCCCAAAAGGCAGUGACGACACCAUGUCUGGUCCUCGAGCGUAUGGGGCUUUGUCACCCGCUCCCGUAGGUCCAGCUGGCAGCUAGCCUCGCAACCAAUCUUUUUAACCAGGUUGACCUCGGAUCAGGUAGGGAUACCCGCUGAACUUAAGC